GGCAGCAUGGCCGAGUGGUCUAAGGCGCUGGAAUUAGGUUUUCUGUUAUACGGAUUCUUUAUCCAGUCCGAAAGGGCGUGGGUUCGAACCCCACUGCUGUCA